CAGUCGCCCGGGAAUACCGAGGGUGCGAGCGUUAAUCGGAUUUACUGGGCGUAAAGCGUGCGUAGGCGGCUUUUUAAGUCGGAUGUGAAAUCCCUGAGCUUAACUUAGGAAUUGCAUUCGAUACUGGGAAGCUAGAGUAUGGGAGAGGAUGGUAGAAUUCCAGGUGUAGCGGUGAAAUGCGUAGAGAUCUGGAGGAAUACCGAUGGCGAAGGCAGCCAUCUGGCCUAAUACUGACGCUGAGGUACGAAAGCAUGGGGAGCAAACAGGAUUAGAUACCCCUGUAGUCCCUGUCUCUUAUACA
rnacentral:rRNA from 1 species